rnacentral:rRNA from 1 species
UACAGAGGUGGCAAGCGUUGCUCGGAAUCACUGGGCUUAAAGGGCGUGCAGGCGGCCAAGUAAGCGUUUUGUGAAAUCCCCCGGCUCAACCGGGGAAUUGCUUGACGAACUGCUUGGCUCGAGGGAGGCAGGGGCGACUGGAACUCUGGGUGGAGCGGUGAAAUGCGUAGAUAUCCAGGGGAACGCCGGUGGAGAAAUCGGGUCGCUGGGCCUUACCUGACGCUGAGGCGCGAAAGCCAGGGGAGCGAACGGG